UCAGAAAAGUCAUUCUAAGAUGUCUUGAAACACUAAUAUGACAUAGACCACAUAAACAGUUUAGUUUUGCAGUGUAUAUGUUUCUCUUCUUUCAGAAGAAAUGUUAAAUGAACCUGUUACAUUUUGCUUUAAGGACUUAGACUUAGAAAACCCUUCAAACAGCAUGACUUCUUUAGACAGGUAGUAAUUUAUUGUUAGGCAUUCUGAAACAAUGAGAACAUAUGGGCACAGGGAGAGGAACAUCACACACAGGGGCCUGUCAGGGGGUGAGGGGCAAGGGGAGGGAUAACAUUAGGAGAAAUACCUAAUGUAGAUGGUGGGUGGAUGGGUGCAGCUAACCACCAUGGCACAUGUAUACCUGUGUAACAAACCUGCAUGUUCUGCACAUGUAUCCCAGAACUUAAAGAAUAACUUU
rnacentral:lncRNA from 1 species